AUUUUCAACGUGCAACAGUAGGAGAUCGGGGAGUUCGAUUUCUGAAUCGGUCAUGCGGUAGCCCCUUAAAUUUUUUUUUUUCAACGUUUAUUUAUUUUUGGGACAGAGAGAGACAGAGCAUGAAUGGGGGAGGGGCAGAGAGAGAGGGAGACACAGAAUCGGAAGCAGGCUCCAGGCUCUGAGCCAUCAGCCCAGAGCCCGACGCGGGGCUCGAACUCACGGACCGCGAGAUCGUGACCUGGCUGAAGUCGGACGCUUAACCGACUGCGCCACCCAGGUGCCCCGCGGUAGCCCCUUAAAGACAUGUUGAGGAUUCGUGUAAGGUUUAGAUGGGCACAAAGGCUCAUAAGCCCAAGGCACAGAGUCCACUUUUGUAAAAUAUGUCGGCUCCUCUGAAAAAUAAAACCUCCAUGAGAAAAGAGUCGGAGAUUUCCAAGUAAGGUCACGGGUGAUGUUAGGAGAACUAGCCCCCCGUUCUAAGUCUAUUUAGCUACAUGACUUGGGAAAAAUCACUUUUCCCCUCUGGGCCGGUCGGUCUCCUCAUCUGAAGUGAUCGAAUAAAAUGAUCCCUUCCAGGCUGAAAACGGUUCAUUUACGGGAGGCAUUCACGAUGAUGCCAUCCUCUUGGGUACGACGUGUACAUUCGGAUCUAAGUACCUGCAUCCCGUGAAAGGCUGUUCCGUGCAAGUCACGAGGGCAGAGACAAGACCAAGGGCUCUGAGUCACCCCCCUAAUCCACUCCGUACACCGACUGCCAUCUUGUAGCAAAGACGAAAGGCAAAGAGUGCCGAUCCAUUAAGCCACCUCCUCACCGGUAUUUCGCAGAGAAAGCCCGCACGGGACAGGAGAUCCGGGGAUUCCACAUCACAGUUCCGGAAGCCCUGUUUUUUCCACUCUCCAACUCUCCUUGGAGAAUGCCAUCUGUCCAAUAUCUUUUCCCUUCUCAAAGGAUUCCUUACCAGUCUCUAAGAAUAAGCAUUCCUAGACUCGUCAUUAAAGCCCCUAAGACACGAAACACAUUUUGAUCUUUUUUUUUUCUGUUGUCUUUUUCCUUUCUUUUUUUUUUUUCCUUUUUCUCCGUUUCCUUGCUUCUUAGCUCAAGUUUCAAUUUUCAGUGUCCAGGGUCUCAACUUGAUGUUCUGCAGCCGGCGGGCCAUUUCCCCAGGACUCUGCGAGCGCAGGUCACUCGUUCACGCCGUGGGACACUUCGUCCGCAUCGGCCCCAAGCAGGCAGGAAGCAACCACUGCGAACAGAGCAUUCUGUCACUGGGGACGUGACAGAAGCGUGGCCCUCCAUCGGAGCCAAAUGCACAUGAGCUCCAGGGACCCUUCUUGGAGCAGCAGGGAAGUGAAGACGUGCCAAUUCUCCCCCACACAGAAGAAGCCCUCUCGUUCCCCUGUGACAGCACCUUGUCCAAAAGUCUCUUUCAGA
rnacentral:lncRNA from 1 species